GAAGAAGAAGAAGAAGAAGAAGAAGAAGAAGAAGAAGAAGAAGAAGAAGAAGAAAGAGAGAGAGAGAGAGAGAGAGAGAGAGAGAGAGAGAGAGAGACCAAGUCAAAGUAAGUUCUCCUGAAGGGACGACAUGAGAGAGAACAACUUGUCCGCUAACUGCACAGUGAAGUCAUCGCUGCCGAGCCAGUGUGGGAAAUACUCAACAUGAGAGUCCUUCCGUUUCAUCCUGCUCUGCAACAUAACGCUGGUGACAGGUAUUUAAGAACUGUGUGUUCUUCCAAAAGGUUCACUGUCUACUGAGUACGCUUAGCCCGUCCGUGCACAUAAACUGCUCCCAACUGUUUUGAAGCACAGCAGACCCUCUGUGUGACAGGCACGCCUUGGGUUGUAAUUCUCCCUUUUUGGAUUUCAAAGUCAUAAUUUAACUUCUGGGUUUUUUUUUUCCUUGCUUGCUUACACUUCAAAGACAGUGGAUAAGCCCUUUUUAUUUUUUAAACAAAACCCAUUUGUAUUUAAAAACAAACUCACUUCCUAAACGCAAGACAGCCUUGCAGAAUAAAGUAAAAUUCUUGACAUGGUAUCUCAGACCCUUGCUAAGUUUAUUUUCAUUGUAUGUAUAAUCAGUUCCAUUUGGUUUCAAAUCCUUGAGGCGGUGUCACAGUCUAUGAAAUGCUAGCAUACACCAAGUUCACAGAAUCACGGGAGUUUGUUGAUGUAAACCUGGGAAGUUCAUAAAAUUAGAGCCAUCUAGGCUAAAAGUCAAUCUGAUGGUCAAGCACGUUUCCUUUAGCUCGUAAGGGAAGGUUGGGAGCCUCAAAGUUGAACCCAGGAAUCCCUUUCUGACAGUUUCUUGCUAUUGACCAUCCUGAAAACAAACCAGUCCUCCAAGCACUGUCUCUGGAGAAUUGGCCAUUGUUAUUUGGUGUUCUAAUAGAUGCUGGCUCCAAGCUCUUUGCAGGAGAGCAGUAUUUAGCAAUAACUUCUUCAGAAAGGGUGAGUCCAUCUGAAUCUGUCAGACAACUUGCCUGAUGUGAAAGUUUUUAAUAUAAGCACCCCACUUUGUCCUUCUGCUGUUUAAUGACCAAAAGUAAUGAGCCCUUUUAAGACUUGUGUUUCACCGAUUUUUUUUUUAUAAUACCCAAACCGUACAGAACAUCAUGACCAUUAAAGCAAGCUUGCAAUUACGCUGAUCUCCAUGGCAACACUGAAAUGCAGACAAACAAUCCCAGACAAUAGAUAAGAAUGCACUAACCUGUUUAAUAGGCUUUGAAUGUCUUCCUAGCAUUCGUGUGAGCAAGUUCCCUAUAAGGUUAAAAAAAAAAAAAGGGAGAAGAAGCAGAGAGGUGGUGCCAUUUUACCACGGCAAUAGAAAGUAACAUUGCCUUUAUUAUUCUGCCAAUAAAAUGGGAAUCUAUGCCGUGUGUUUUCUUUAAAAUUUAGUAGCAUCCGAAUACUAAAAUAAAAAAAUUAAUAUUUAAAUUUUGCUUCAACAUUUUAUUUAACCUAACCUGGCAUCCCAACAUACCACCAGUAAGCAUGUAUGAGUGAGUGUCUGAUAUUAUUUUUCUCAUACUGACUUGGAUAUUGGCCAUGUUCUCCUGUAUCCCAGACUGGCCUGCAACUUCCUUUAUAGCUGAAGAUGUGAUAGACUCCUGCCUCCAGAUCCCUAGUCCUGGAAUUACAUCUGUACGCCGCUAAUCCAAUUGUAUAAAGUACUGGAGCUACAGCUCAGGGCUCCACACAUUAAGCAUCAGGUGCAGCAGAGCCUCUGGACUCACCACAUUUCAAGUGCUCAAUGAUCACACACAGCCUAGAGGGCCAUUGUGUUGGUUACAAUAUUUAUUGUAUUUUUAAAAGUAGUAGAGUCUCGUCAAUGGAGAACCCUUGCGAUUUUCCCUUUGGUCUUGUUAAGAAGUUUGGCAGGCCCUGCUCUCCGGCCCCCAAGGUCUGACGUUCCUGUCCAGACUGAUCGUGCCUUAUGUAUUUUUCGUGUCACCAGGAAGCAGGCUCCCCCAAACCUGCUGGUAUUUUGACCCAAAGCCAAAGGUGAAUCUUGAUCGCUGGCUACAAUGUUAAUCUUCUAGAACCUUCCUCAGUCGCAGACCUAUGCUCUCACAACCUACCACUGAGGCUGAUUUGAACUUAAGAACAAACCCUGGAGUGUCUGACGGACUCAGAGCUACUGUAACCUGUCCAGCAUAUCGAGCGGCACACGGAACUGAGUGCCCGUCAUCGGCUGAGCACCGACUUCAUUCAUGUUUACCUCUCCGUCACCAUUGGCUUCCAACGGCAUCCAGGAGUAGCCAUCUAGUUACCUAAUCACAUGAUCGCUCUCCAACACUCUUUCUGCUUGCUCAUUUGGCCACGUGGGAGUUACUUCCCAUUGUGUCAAAAUCCUACUCAUCCAUUCUGUGGAGUCCAGUAGAUAGCCCAGAUCUGCUUGUUGUUCUACAGGAAGUUUCCUUGAAAUCUAAAAGCAACUUUAUCUCUAACUCAGGGGUACAGCUUCCAUGGGUAAGAGCUCUGACUUCAGUCUCUGUCCCGUAUUCAUGCAAAAAUGCUAACCUCUCAGGAAAAGCCAAGUGUGAGCUUGCCUUUGAAGGUUUCCCUUUAAAGCUACUUGAAAAAUAAGAAUUAAUGAUUCUUAAAUGCAGCUGUGCCAAAAAGAGAUCCAAACUUCGAUAUCUAUCCUCGAGCCUCUGUUCAAGAGCCGAGCCCACAGGAACGUUCAUCUUGUGGGUACCCAGAAUCCUCGUUGUAGCUCCGUUCACAUUCCAUUCAUGUUUUUAGCCACGGUCCCCUCUCACUUUCAGCCUCCCCUAAUUCAUCCCCCUGAAGCUUGCUCUUCAGACUCUAAGCUCUGCAGCGGAUGUCACCUCAACGCAGAGCAUGUUCUACAUAACUUCAGCAUCAACCAAUGAGGUCUUUCACUGAGCCCUAGGUACACUACUUCCAACCCACAGGACUGCUCGUCUUUUCCCCAUCACCUAGUAACGUGGCCCAAACUCUUCUGCCCGGAGUCCACAGCCCACCCACGCUGUGACCCUAACGUGACAUCAUAACGGGAUCUACUCUUACUCCCUACAUAAACUCCAGACAAAAAUGUACUAAUCAACUCCCAAAUGCAUUCAUCUCUUCGAGCAGCUGGGCCUUGUAUCUGGAGCAUUCAUGCUGUGUUCUUACUUGCCCAAAUUCCUGCUGAUUGAAAAUGUGACUCCAAUCCAUCCAAUCCCAGUGAAAACGGCUACCUCUUCUGUGAAGUCUUACUGGAUUUUUCAGCAAGAAAUAACCUUCUGGUCCCUGAAUAUACUUUAUUCACAUGGUCUACAUUGGGCCCUUUCGACCUUUACAUUGUAAUCUUAUUUGUGUGUCUUGUGUCUCACCUUGUCGAUAAGACUACAAAGUUCACUUAUUCAAUAAAUAUUUAUCUAUGGCAUGCACUAUCGGGAGACACAGAAUAUUUACGUUAUAUAUCCCUGUGCUGUACCUAGCGCGCAUGUCUGACUCUGCAAGUAUUCAGUCUCUGUGGUAUACGUGAUUAAAUCCCUCACUUGUUUAAAAACUGUAUGUCCAACUGGCUUUAUUUUCAGAAAUGAGCUAGGAACGUCUCAAGUCAGUCUGAGUAGGAGUUCAAACACAGAUGCACUUGACUCUGACCCCACUUAGCCCCAGAGACCUUGGCAAGCCCUAACAUACACAGAGCCCUUUGCUCUCAAUUUGCACACAUUUUCUAACAAUAAUAAUCGUGACAACAACCACAAUGAGCUUGAGGAUCUGAUUUGCAAACCUACUGCAGCUGAAAGUUGGUGAAUUAGGAGCAGGGAGUAGAAAUGGCUAAGCAUUCACACAGGCAUUAGUAAAACUGACAUCAAGACAUCAACAGCAAGGAAAGGUCUAUAAAGCUAACACGUCACACACACACACACACACACACACACACACCAAUAAUAAUAAUUGAAAAUAAAACAGUAAUCUGUGGCCAUUUAGAGCAGGGACAAGCUGUUCUGCAUAUCUCAGAAGGGCCUAAAGGCUUCUUAGGGGUUAUAGGUCUCCACUACUUUUAAUGACAAUCCCAAGUGUUCUAGCCGAAUGGUGUUUACAAUGCAUUAUUUCAGAAGAACAUAUUGGAAAUGUUUUCAUCCAAGACAAUUAAAACUAAAAGUCUUGGUGUUUAGAAGGAUAAGUCCUCAGCCAUCUAUUAAACUCAUUUAUCCAGAACAAGUCUCCUCCCACCCCACCCCCACCCACAGUCUCUGAAGCCAGGAUUUUAUUGUACAUCCUUGUAUUGCUGGGUUCGCUUGCCUCGGAACAUUUGUUGGCUUCAAGAAUUUAGUUCAAUCUUCAUUCAGUAACUUUGAUUCCCAUGUUAUUUGCGAAACACUCCAAGUGGGCCAAUAGAGGACACAGAAGACAGUGAUCUUAGGUUUGUCCUAAAGGUGCCCAAGGAAAGUCUCCUUGAGCAGGUAAGUGAUGUUUGUAUCCUUGGGUGAUCCUAAUGGAGGAGAAGCAAAUGGGUAGAUGGUAAGACAGACAUCAUAUGAGAAAGGACCACGGGUAGUGAAGAAUGGUUCUUAGAGCUGUGCCUCCCAACUAGAAGUAGGAGAUUUGAAGAGGUCAUUUGGGGUAAAGAAAACAGCACGGGGUGGGGGACAAGCUAGAUGCAAGAAAGAGCAAGUUUUCUUCAAGUUAAGGAGCCAGCCUGGCAGAGCCAGGGAGGGGUCUGGCUUGGAAAUAGACUUUGGAGCAUUUCCAUCGUUUUGUGCAGACCUCUGCGACCAUCUAAGGUCAGGUCUCAGUCUGCUUAGACUGCCAUAAAGAAAACACAACAUACACUGAGUGACUUCAACACACGAUGUUUAUUUCUGUCCAUUCUGGGGAUUGGCAAGUUCAAAGUCAAGGUGCUGACUUAAUUUGCUUCUAACAGCUUCUCUCUUCUUGGUUUUCAGGUACCCAGGUACCUCAGGUGUCUCACAGUAUCCUCACAUGCUGGAGAGAUGGGUGGUCCUUGAGCAGGAAAUAUCAGCAUCCUCUGGAAACUCGUUGGAAACCAAAGUCUCAGACCCUACCCAGAUCUGCUUGAUUAAGAACCUCUGGUUGUCUCUGCAUCUGUUUCCAACCUCUGCUGGAUGGAGCUUCUCAGGAGACAGUUAUGAUAGGCGUCUGUCUGCAAGGACAGCAGAGUAUCAGGGCUGGGCUCUCUCACAUGGGGCAGUACUCAAGUCGAGACAGUCAUUGGUUGGCCGUUCCCUCAAUAUCUGCUCCAUCUUUUUCCCUGCACAUCUUGUAGUCGGGACAAAUUUUGGGUUGAAGUUUUUAUGAGUUGGUUGGUGCUCCCCUCCCUCCUCUGGAAGUUCUAUCUGGCUAUAGGAGGUGGCCACUUCAGUCUCUGUAUUCUCACCAAUGGUAGGAAUCUCAGCUAGGGUCACCCCAUAGAUUCACUGUAUUCUCUCCCAUCUCAGGCCUCCAGCUUGUCCAAGAGAUGCUCCCCCACGCACACUGAUUUCCAUUCUCACUCCCAGCCCUCUCCUGCCCUUCUCCCCACACCUAAUUCCCAUCCCCUACCACUCCUUACCCCAUUUCCAACCCAGAGACCCAUUGCCAAACAUCAGGUGGAUCUCAGGGAGUCUUGUGGAAGAGUGGGGGGUAGAAUGAGUAAGCCAGAGGGAUCAAGGACACCCCAAGAGUCACCUAACGUAGGUCCAAGAGGGCUCACAGAGACUGAACCUUCAACCAAAGAGCAUGCGGGGGCUGGACCUAAGUCCCCACACAUUUAUAGCAGAUGUGCAGCUUGGUCUUAAUGUGGGUCUGGAGGGGGAUACUGUCUCUGACUCAGUUACCUGCUGUUGGAGCCCUUUUCCCUACCUGGACUGCCUGAUUGGGCCUCAGUGUGGGAGAAGGUGCUUAGUUCUGCUGGGACUAGAUGUCCCAGGGUGAGAUGGUACCUAACAGUGGCUUCACCUUCUCUGAGGAGAAGGGGUGGAUGUAAUGAGACAAAGGGACUCAUAAGGGAGGAGAGGAGGGAGGGGGACAGUGAUUGGGAUGUAAGGUGAACUUUAAAAAAUCACGAAAAGAAAAGAAACACAGAUUUAAGAAGAUUUAAAUGAGAAAAAAGAUUCAAUCUUUAAUCACAGAUGGAUCUCUGUGAGUUCGAGGUCAGCCUGGUAUACAUAGUGAGUACCAGAACAGACAGAGCUACAUAGAGACCCUGAGAGAUAGAGAUAGACGACAAAUGGGAUCUCAUAAAACUGCAAGCUUCUGUAAGGCAAAGGACACUGUUGUUAGGACAAAACGGCAACCAACAGAUUGGGAAAAGAUCUUUACCAAUCCUACAACUAUAUAUAUCCAAAAUAUACAAAGAACUCAAGAAUAUAUAUCCAAAAUAUACAAAGAACUCAAGAAGUUAGACCGUAGGGAGACAAAUAACCCUAUUAAAAAAUGGGGUUCAGAGCUAAACAAAGAAUUCACAGCUGAGGAAUGCUGAAUGGCUGAGAAACACCUAAAGAAAUGUUCAACAUCUUUAGUCAUAAGGGAAAUGCAAAUCAAAACAACCCUGAGAUUUCACCUCACACCAGUGAAAUGGUUAAGAUCAAAAAUUCAGGUGACAGCAAAUGCUGGCGAGGAUGAAAGAGGAACACUCCUCCAUUGUUGGUGGGAUUGAAGACUGGUACAACCAUUCUGGAAAUCAGUCUGGAGGUUCCUCAGAAAAUUGGACAUUGAACUACCUGAGAACCCAGCUAUACCUCUCUUGGGCAUAUACCCAAAAGAUGCCCCAACAUAUAACAAAGACACAUGCUCCACUAUGUUCAUAGCAGCCUUAUUUAUAAUAGCCAGAAGCUGGAAAGAACCCAGAUGCCCUUCAACAGAGGAAUGGAUACAGAAAAUGUGGUACAUCUACACAAUGGAAUAUUACUCAGCUAUCAAAAACAAUGACUUUAUGAAAUUCAUAGGCAAAUGGAUUGAACUGGAAAAUAUCAUCCUGAGUGAGGUAACCCAAUCACAGAAAAACACACAUGGUAUGCACUCAUUGAUAAGAGGAUAUUAGCCCAAAUGAUCGAAUUACCCUAGAUGCACAGAACACAUCAAACUCAAGAAGAAUGACCAAAAUGCGAAUGCUUCACUCCUUCUUUAAAAGGGGAACAAGAAUACCCUUGGGAGGGAAUAGAGAGGCAAAGUUUAGAACAGAGGCAGAAGGAACACCCAUUCAGAGCCUGCCCCACAUGUGGCCCAUACAUAUACAGCCACCCAAUUAGAUAAGAUAGAUGAAGCAAAGAAGUGCAGGCCGACAGGAACCGGAUGUAGAUCUCUCCUGAGAGACACAGUCAGAAUACAGCAAAUACAUAGGCGAAUGCCAUCAUUAAACCACUGAACUGAGAACGGGACCCCUGUUGAAGGAAUCUUAGAAAGGACUGAAAGAGCUUGAAGGGGCUUGAGACCCCAUAUGAACAACAAUGCCAACCAACCAGAGCUUCCAGGGACUAAGCCACUACCCAAAGACUAUACAUGGACUGACCCUGGACUCUGACCUCAUAGGUAGCAAUGAAUAGCCUAGUAAGAGCACCAGUGGAAGGGGAAGCCCUUGGUCCUGCCAAGACUGAACCCCCAGUGAACAUGAUUUUUGGGAGGAGGGCGGCAAUGGGGGGAGGAUGGGGAGGGGAACACCAAUAUAGAAGGGGAGGGGGAGGGGUUAGGGGGAUGUUGGCCCAGAAACCAGGAAAGGGAAUAACAAUCAAAAUGUAAAUAAGAAAUACUCAAGUUAAUAAAGAUGAAAGACAGAGACAGAGACAGAGACAGAGAGACAGAGAGAGAGAGAGAGGAAGAAUCAUCACCACCACCACCACCACCACCGCCACCGCAGCAGCAGCAGCAGCUAUGGGGCUGCAGAAAUGGCUUUGGCAUAUCCAGGUACUUACUGUUCUUACAGAGGAUCCUAGCUCAGUUCCCUAGCACCCAUGCAGGACACCUGACAACUGUCUGUCCAGGUCCAGAAGAUCUGACAACUUCUGGCCAAGCAGGCAGCCGCACUAAUGUGUACACGCACCCCCACCCCCCCACAUGCAUACACACCACAUGCAUAUGCAUAAUUGAAAAUACACGUAAAUCUUUGGAAAGAAUCUCUUUUUGUGGACAUAGGACUCUGGCUUUUCCAGCUAUCAGGUAGGCUCUGUAUGUGCAAAGGUUGGGAAAGAAAGGACAUCUGCUUCUGCCUAAUUUUAGAAAAUAUGUGUACUUCUAACAGGUUCCAAUGUCGUCCAGAAAAUUAAUGUCAUAUCCACGUCUUUAUUUGUACCACAUGCAUGAAUAAUAGUCACGGCACCAGUCAUGGCAAAUACAAUUCUUGCAUUUAGAGUAUAAAAUGAGUAGUAAUGAAAAUGGCAGAAUGCUCUUAUCUAUCAAACAUACAAACAAAACCCUAAAGAGACUGUCGCCCGGCCAAGACCCGACUGUACAUAUUGACUUGGGAUUAAAACAGUAAUCACUUGCUUCAAUCUGAACCUUAAUAGAUAAGACAGAUUUUUAAUAUAGGCUUAGAAAUAAGUGCCAUGCCAAAAGGGAAAGAAAAGGCGAGGGCAGCCAUCCAGGGUACGAUAACAAAAGUGUAAUGUAAUAUAUCAGCAUGGCAAUCAGAAUCUAUUGCUAUGAAGGGGGUUGUCUUGCCAAAUAAUGAAACGAAUUGACAUCGAUACCAAGCUGUCAUUGGAAUGUCAUAGAGAUGCGGGAUUGUUUUUUAAGCAAUGUUACUGGAAGUCAUUCAAGAUGUUUGUGCUGUUAUAACAGAUCGACUGGAGAUAUUUUUUUUAUUCCAAACUCCUAGAUGAGAAAAUAUUUGGAAUAAAGUACAGUGCGUUUAUAUACAG